rnacentral:rRNA from 1 species
GCUUACGGCCAUACCAGCCUGGGUACGCCCGAUCUCGUCUGAUCUCGGAAGCUAAGCAGGGUCGUGCCUGGUUAGUACUUGGAUGGGAGACCGCCUGGCAAUACCAGGUGCUGUAAGCA